GACGAACGCUGGCGGCGUGCCUAAUACAUGCAAGUAGAACGCACAGUUUAUACCGUAGCUUGCUACACCAUAGACUGUGAGUUGCGAACGGGUGAGUAACGCGUAGGUAACCUGCCUGGUAGCGUGGGAUAACUAUUGGAAACGAUAGCUAAUACCGCAUAAUAUUGAUUAUUGCAUGAUAAUUGAUUGAAAGAUGCUAUUGCAUCACUACCAGAUGGACCUGCGUUGUAUUAGCUAGUAGGUGAGGUAUCGGCUCACCUAGGCGACGAUACAUAGCCGACCUGAGAGGGUGAUCGGCCACACUGGGACUGAGACACGGCCCAGACUCCUACGGGAGGCAGCAGUAGGGAAUCUUCGGCAAUGGACGAAAGUCUGACCGAGCAACGCCGCGUGAGUGAAGAAGGUUGUCGGAUCGUAAAGCUCUGUUGUAAGAGAAGAACGGGUGUGAGAGUGGAAAGUUCACACUGUGACGGUAUCUUACCAGAAAGGGACGGCUAACUACGUG
rnacentral:rRNA from 1 species